CCGUCCGUCCUUCCGUCCGUCCUUCCGUCCGUCCGUCCGUUCACUUUUGUGUCGCACGUAACUCAAAAAGUAUUUGACCUAUAGUCAUGAAACUUUACAGGAAUGUUGAUCAGCAUGUGUAGUUGUGCACCUGGAGCCCGUCUUAUCAACGAUCGUACGAUUUUGGAAAUCUUAGCGUACGAUUUUGAUCUACGAUUGUCGUACGCUCGAUCGUAAGACUGUCUUAUCAACGCGGUCGUACGUUCAACCUAAAAUCUUACAAUUUUCAUAAGCGUACGAUUCUUACACCUGCGCACUAACACGUACUCUUCAAAAAAGGAGGUAACGCGCAUUUAAUGUCAAACUUGAAAUACGAUGUCUGCUACAAUUCAGCUAUGUCUGACAAGGCAAGAAAAGUUAAUUGGACAACUCAAGAGCGUGAUAUGCUCAUUAGCAAGUGUGAAAGUGCUGAUGUAGCCACCGGCAAGUUUUCACAGACAAUUACAGCCGCGGACAAAGCCCGUUUUUGGGCGGAUGUAGUGGAAAGAUUCUACAGGCAAUACCCACCUGCAGUGUAGAAGGGAUAGAAAAUGGUGCAGACACCUUUCUUGAAAAUAAUGAUCCUGGCCUUACAAUCCCAGACCUUCCUGUUGGAAGUGAGACAAACUCUUUGGGAAGAAAGGAAAUUUUGCAGGAUAAAGGAUUUGAAGGUGAUAAUGAGCCAGUUAUAAGCCAGUGCCAAAGAAGGCGAAAUAUGACAAGAAAACAGAGGAUGACAUAUAUCAACUUGUUGAACAACAGACUGCAAUUAUGACAGAAUUGAAUUCAACAUUAAAAACAUUAAAUCAGUAAUUAUCAGUCUUUAGAUAGCAUAAAAAAAAAGAUUAGACAAACUUAUUUAAAAUUCUAACACGACAUGUAUGUUUCCCUUAUGAACUCAGAAGAACCGAAAUUGUGUGUUAUAAUGGUCAUAAAAUCAAUGUUGACAUUCUUAAUUUGGACAUUUGAUGAAACCAUUAAAAAUUUUACGAGCUGAAUAUUAAUAUGGAAACUUUACAGGCACAAGUUAGCUUAAUAUCGGGUACUGCAGCAUUUAUUAGUUGACAUGUGUUAGGAUUGAAAUAAUAUAUCUCAAUCAUUAAAUUUAACCAUAGAUAAAUUUAAAUCAAUGUUUGUCCUUCAGAUGUGCAGCAUUAUAUCAACGGGGCUUUGCCCCCGUGAAGUAAUUUCAUACAUCUGGACUCCGAACAGUGAUUUUAUUUAGCACUAAAAUCAAAAUUUAGGAUAUAUUAUUUCUUAAUCAUCAAUUUAUAGUCAUUGUAAAAUUUUCAUUUAAGCACCCACCCUCCCUAACAUAGUGUUGGUGUCUAUUUUUAUCAGGAAACACUUCUGUCCUAUCUGUAUUUUGAAUUGUUUUAACCAUGUUUGUUUUGAAGUAACAGUUGAGCAAUUAUGAUUGUUGCAAGAGUUAAGUCCUUUUUAAACUUAGAAUUUUAG